CCUACGGGUGGCAGCAGUGAGGAAUAUUGGUCAAUGGACGCAAGCCUGAACCAGCCAUGCCGCGUGCAGGAAGACGGCCCUAUGGGUUGUAAACUGCUUUUGUAAGGGAGUAAACUCAGGUACGCGUGUCUGUCUGAAAGUACUGUAUGAAUAAGGAUCGGCUAACUCCGUGCCAGCAGCCGCGGUAAUACGGAGGAUUCAAGCGUUAUCCGGAUUUAUUGGGUUUAAAGGGUGCGUAGGUGGGCGGAUAAGUCAGAGGUGAAAUACCGAGGCUCAACUUCGGAAUUGCAUCUGAUACUGUUCGUCUAGAGUGUAGUUGAGGUAGGCGGAAUGCAUGGUGUAGCGGUGAAAUGCUUAGAGAUCAGACAGAACACCGAUUGCGAAGGCAGCUUACUAAGCUACUACUGACGUUGAGGCACGAAAGUGUGGGGAGCAAACAGGAUUAGAUACCCGAGUAGUC
rnacentral:rRNA from 1 species